AUUGGAGUUCCUGCUGUGACACAACAGGAUGGGCAGUGUCUCUGCAGUGCCAGGACACAUGUUCAAUCCCUAGCCCAGCACAGUGGAUUAAAGGAUGUGGCAUUGCUAUAUCAGUGGCACAGGUCUCAACUGCAGCAUCUUGGAUGUAACCCAGACCUGAGAACUCCAUAUGCCUCUGUGCGGCCAAAACAAAAACCAGAAACAAUAUUGUGUUAAUUUGUGCAGUACAGCAAAGUGAUUCAGUUAUACAUAAAUAUGUAUAUAUUCAUUUUAUAUUCUUUCCCAUUGUGGAUUAACACAAAUUACUGAAUGUAGUUCCUUGUGCUGUACAGUAGGACCUUGUUUAUCUAUUCUAUAUCUAAUAGUUGCAGCUGCUAACUUGAGGCUCCCAGUCCAUCCCUCCCCUAACCCACUGAUUGCUUUGUCUUUUAACCUUGCUUUAUAAGUGCUUCUCAGAUCCACCUCUUAGAGUAUUGACAAUAAAAACAAAAAUAAACAAAUGGGACCUAAUCAAACUGAAAAGUUUCUGCACAGCAAAGGAAACCCUAAACAAAACAAAAAGACAACACACAGAAUGGGAGAAAAUCUUUGCAAAUGAACCCACUGACAAGGGAUUAAUCUCCAAAAUUUAUAAACGCCUCCUACAGCUCAAUACCAAAAAACAACCCCAUCAAAAAAUGGGCAGAAGAUCCAAACAGACAGUUCUCCAAAGAAGACAGACAGAUGGCCAAAAAAACCCAUGAAAACAUGUUCAACCUCACUCAGCAUUAGAGAAAUGCAAAUCAAAACCACGAUGAGGGACCACCUUACACCAGCCAGAAUGGCCAUCAUCAAAAAGUCUACAAACAGUAAGUGCUGGAGAGGGUGUAGAGCAAAAGGAACCCUCUUACCUUGCUGGUGGGAUUGUCAAUUGGUGCAACCACUGUGGAAAGCAGUAUGGUGAUUCCUCAGAAAACCAAACAUAGAACUACCAUUUGAUCCAGCAAUCCCACUCCUGGGCAUCUAUCCAGAGAAAACCAGGACUCGCAAAGACGCAUGUACUCCGAUGUUCAUUGCAGCACUAUCUGUAAUAGCCAAGACAUGGAAACAACCUAAAUGUCCAUUGACAGAGGAGUGGAUCAAGAAGAUGUGGUACCACAAAAAUACAAAAAAAAAAAAAAAAAAGGGAUGUGGUACCUAUACACAAUGGAAUAUUACUCAGCCAUUAAAAGGAAUGAAAUACCGGCAUUUUUAGCAACAUGGAUGGACCUAGAAAUUAUCAUGCUAAGUGAAGUCAGCCAUACAAUGAAACACCAACAUCAAAUGCUUUCACUGACAUGUGGAAUCUGAAAAAAGGACAGACUGAACUUCUUUGUAGAACAAAUGCUGACUCACAGACAUUGAAAAACUUAUGGUCUCCAGAGGAGACAGUUUGGGGGGUGGGGGGAUGUCCUUGGGUUAUGGGAUGGAAAUCCUGUGAAUGAUCAUUAUACAACUACAGAUGUGAUAAAUUCAUUUGCGUAAUAAAAAUAAAUAAAUAAAUAAAAAUUUUAAAAAUAAAACUCUUUCACUCUCCUUCAAAUCUGAGUGAUAGCCUUGCUGGAUAGAGUGUUCUUGGUUUUGGUUUUUUCCUCUCAUCAUUUUAAAUAUAUCAUGCUGCUUCCUUCUGGUCCACCUAAUUUCUGCUGAAAAGUUAGCUGACAUUCCUCUGGGAGUCUCAUAUAUGUUACUAGUUGCUUUUCCUUUGCUGCUUUUUACUACUGAAUUGAAAAAGUGUUUUGUAUAUUCCGGAUAAAAGUCCCUAACAUAUAUGUUAUAUGGAAAUAUUCUUACCAUUCUGUGUGUUAUCUUUUCAGUUUCUUCAUGGUAUUUUCUGAUGCAUAAAAGUUUUCCAUUUUAAUGUUCAAUUCAUCUGUUUUUUUCUAUUGGUGUUUGUACUGUGAUGGCAAACCAUUAUCAAAUCCAAGCCUACUAAGAGUUACUUAUGCAUUUUCUCCUAAGAAUUUUACACUUACAGUUCUUCCAUUAAUAUCUUUAACUCUUUUUUAAUUUUUGUGUUUGCUAUGAAGUAAGAUUGAAAUGCAUUCUUUGGGAGUUCUCUGAUGGCCUAGCUGGUUCUGGUUCCUGUGUUUUCACCACUGUGGCUCUGGUCACUGCUGUGGCGCAGCUUCAGUCCCUGGCCUGGGAACUUCCACAUGCUGCUGGUGUGGCAAAAAGGAAAAAAGAAAAAAAGAGAGAGAGGGAACCUGAAAUAAACGUUGCAACUCAUUGUUUAAAAGAAAUGCAUUCUUUGCAUGUGACUAUCCUGUUGUGUCAAUACAGUUUGUUGAAAAAGCCAUUCUUUCCCCCACCCCUUGGAUUGUCUUGUCAAAAAUCAAUUGAGUAUAAAUGUGAGGAUUUAUUUCUCGAAUCUCACUUCUGUUUCAUUGAUCUUUUUGUCAGUCCUUAUGCAUGUACCACGUUGUCUUAAUUACUUUUGCUCUCUGGUAAAUUUUAAACUUGGGAAUUGUGAGUCCUCCAGCAGUAUUCUUCUUUUAUCAAAAUUAUGGGUUUCUUGAGUUUUGAAGGGAAACUGGAUCAACUUACCAGUUUAUGCAAAGAAGCCAGCUGUAAUUUUGAUGGAGUUUGCUUUGAAUCUGAAGAUCAUUUUGCAGAGUGUAUUAGUUUUCCAGGGCUGCCAGUCACAGAUAGGGUGACUGAAACAACAGAAACGUAUUUGGGGGCAGUUUUGGAGAAUAGAAAUUCAAGAUCAAGGUGUCGCCAUGUUUUAUUUUUACUGGGGGUCUUUUCUCAUGCAUGGUUGUGUUCUAAUUUCCUCUUCUUUUAAGAUAAGGACGCCAGUCAUAUUGGACUAGGGCCUUACACAUAUGACCUCAUUUACCUUAUUUACUUCUUUAGGAGCCCUAUUUUCAAAUACAGUCACAUUUUGUGGUAUUAGAAAUUAGAACUUCAACAUAAAUUUUGGGGAGCCACAAUUCAGCCAGUAAUGGAGAGUACUGCCAUCUUAAUGUAAACUAAGUUAACUAAGACUUAAUAUUAAGUCUUCUGAUCCAUGAAAUAGGUUCUAUCCAUUUUUUAGUUCUUUCUUACUUUGAUUCAAUAGUGUUUUAUAGUUUUAGGGUCUGCUUUUGAGAAAACCCAAACAUAAAUACUUUCAGAUUAAAAAAAUAAACCUCCUGUGUUUUCUUCAAAUACUUUUUUCCUUUGUAUUUUAAUCUUAUUAAUUCCAACAAAUUUAGAAUUGUUAUAUCUUCUUGGUGAAUUGAACUUUUAGAUAAUCCUCUCCUUUACCUAUUAAUAGUACAUUUUUGCCUUGAAUUCAUUUGGACUGAUAUUAAUGCAGCAAGAUGUGUUACUCUCCUGGCCUUAAUAUGCAGUAAUUUGCACAAGCAGGAAGCUUACUAGAACCCCAGUGUUUAGAGUUUUAUUUGGCUUCAUUACAUAGGCAUGAUUGAUUGAUUGUACACAUGAUUGAUCUCAGUCUUCAGUCUCCAGAGGGACCAGUACCCAAAACCUCCACUCUGAAUCACACUAUUGGUUUUCUGGUGUGGACAGCCCCAACCCUAAAUCAUCCAGUGGAAGCCAAGGCCCCCUGAGCAAAGAUACUGCUAUCAGUCAUUACAUUCCAAAAGCCUAGAGAUUACCUCCUAGUAGCCAGGAUAAAGAUCAGGCCUCUCUUUUGGUAGUGUUAAUUCUUCAUUACAAGAUUAGAAAAUUUUUUAAGAUGUUCUUUUCACAUCUGUACAGAGGGAGACUUUUAAUCUGGGGCCAGAAGUUGUCUACACAUACUUAGCCUCAUCUUCUGGGACCACAUGCUUCCUGAGUACAGAAUAACUUUAUACUGUGGUUGUGUUUUCUCUUGAGUUCUUUUUUUUUUUUUUUUUNUUU
rnacentral:lncRNA from 1 species